CACGUAGGGGGCGAGCGUUGUCCGGAUUUAUUGGGCGUAAAGAGCUCGUAGGCGGCUCAGUAAGUCAGGUGUGAAAACUCCAGGCUCAACCUGGAGACGCCACUUGAUACUGCUGUGGCUAGAGUCCGGUAGGGGAGCAUGGAAUUCCUGGUGUAGCGGUGAAAUGCGCAGAUAUCAGGAAGAACACCGGUGGCGAAGGCGGGUCUCUGGGCCGAUACUGACGCUGAGGAGCGAAAGCGUGGGGAGCGAACAGG
rnacentral:rRNA from 1 species